UACAGAGACCUCAAACGUUGUCCGGAUUCAUUGGGCGUAAAGCGUCCGCAGGUGGUUCUGCAAGUCAGUAGUCAAAUCCCGGAGCUUAACUUCAGGACUGCUGCUGAUACUGCAAAACUUGAGGCUGGAAGAGGCAAGCGGAAUUCUCGGUGUAGUCGUAAUAAGCGCUGAUAUCGAGAAGAACACCAAAGGCGAAGGCAGCUUGCUGGUACAUGCCUGACACUCAUGGACGAAAGCGUGGGUAGCGAAUCGG
rnacentral:misc_RNA from 1 species